GCCGCAGUGCUGGAACCCGGUAGACAGGCACGCUUCAGGAGCGUGUGCUAGCAAUAGCAUAGAGGUUCAACUCCUCUCUGCGGCACCA
rnacentral:tRNA from 1 species